rnacentral:rRNA from 1 species
CCUACGGGAGGCAGCAGUGGGGAAUAUUGGGCAAUGGAGGCAACUCUGACCCAGCAACGCCGCGUGAAUGAUGAAGGUCUUCGGAUUGUAAAGUUCUUUUCUAAGGGAAGAAGAAAGUGACGGUACCUUAGGAAUAAGCCUCGGCUAACUACGUGCCAGCAGCCGCGGUAAUACGUAGGGGGCAAGCGUUAUCCGGAAUUACUGGGUGUAAAGGGAGCGUAGACGGCUGUGCAAGUCUGGAGUGAAAGGCGGGGGCCCAACCCCCGGACUGCUCUGGAAACUGUAUGGCUGGAGUGCAGGAGAGGUAAGCGGAAUUCCUAGUGUAGCGGUGAAAUGCGUAGAUAUUAGGAGGAACACCAGUGGCGAAGGCGGCUUACUGGACUGUAACUGACGUUGAGGCUCGAAAGCGUGGGGAGCAAACAGGAUUAGAUACCCUAGUAGUC